CCUACGGGAGGCAGCAGUGGGGAAUAUUGCACAAUGGGGGAAACCCUGAUGCAGCGACGCCGCGUGAGUGAAGAAGUAUUUCGGUACGUAAAGCUCUAUCAGCAGGGAAGAAAAUGACGGUACCUGACUAAGAAGCCCCGGCUAACUACGUGCCAGCAGCCGCGGUAAUACGUAGGGGGCAAGCGUUAUCCGGAUUUACUGGGUGUAAAGGGAGCGUAGACGGCAGCGCAAGUCUGGAGUGAAAUCCCAUGGCUUAACCAUGGAACUGCUUUGGAAACUGUGCAGCUAGAGUGCAGGAGAGGUAAGCGGAAUUCCUAGUGUAGCGGUGAAAUGCGUAGAUAUUAGGAAGAACACCAGUGGCGAAGGCGGCUUACUGGACUGUAACUGACGUUGAGGCUCGAAAGCGUGGGGAGCAAACAGGAUUAGAUACCCUAGUAGUC
rnacentral:rRNA from 1 species